GAGCAGAUGAUGAAUCAAGUGAUUAUUAAUUGCUGAUUGGUUAUUCCAUGAAGCUAACCAAAAUCGAGCUUUUUAAAACUGAUGCUCA